AAACUUAUUUUCAGACGAAACUGGAUGAGGGCGCUCUAAAUUUCACCGUUGGCCGUGACUGGGAAGGGCUUAACAAAAAUGGCACCAAAAAGAAACUCAUAUUCUGCAAGUUACAAACUUCAAGUUGUAAAAUAUGCAGCCGAAAACAGUAAUCGAGCAGCAGAAAGAAAGUUUGGAGAACCAAGAUGUAUCAAUG